AUUUUUUUUAAUAAAUUUUUUUACGUAUUUUUUUUAUCUAAUGGAAAAAAUGGAAUUAAGAUAUAAUUUAGAACUAAAAGAUUUUUCUACUUUAAAACAGGUUGUGAGUAAUUAUGAGAAGAAUAAUCAUCAGCUCAUUAUUCUUCUCAAAAAGGAUUAAUUUCAGAUAAAAAUUCAUUAGUUUUACAAGAAUGGGAUAAGAAUAUAAUGAAAAAUAUGAAAAUGCCCAUAAAAUACAAACGAGGAUCAAUUCACAAAAGGCCUAAAAAAAUGCAAAAAAAGAGUAUUAUUUAAAAAUUAUAAAAUAUUUCACGGUUAGCAAUUUUUGAAAAUGAUAUUAUAAUAUACAUGUAUUUUAAAAAAGAUUUUUCCCAAGCUAAUCAAAAUAUGACUGAAACGAUUAACCUACCACAUUCCAAUACAGAAAACACUCAACUAUAUGGUAUCACUAAAAAUUAAAUGUUUAUUGUUUAUUAAAAUACAUUAGCAGUCAAAUUAUUUCAAAAAAUAUGUUAGGCACUUAAGUUAAGAUACCAGAGAGUAAACAUUUUACUUAACAAAAAAAUAGCAACAAACUUAUAUUUUUACCAAUAUCAUUUUCAAAAUAUACCAAAAAAUUUAAGCCCUCAGUCAAAAACUAUUCCAGCUACAUUCAAAUUCUCUUUAUCUCAAAAUAUUUCAAAAAAUAUAUUAGGCACUCAAAUUAAGCUACCAAAUAGUAAACAUUUUUCCUUUAUUUUAUAUAAUAAAAAUUAUAGCAACCAAAACUUUAGACUACACUUCUCUUCAAAAUCUUUCAAAAUUUUUUUAGGAAACCAUAAAUAAAACAAAUAAUUAUAUAUUUAGAAUGUUUAUAUUAAAUUUAAAAAUAUAUAGGAACCAAAUACAAUCUAAUAGAGCUUCCAGAAAACAAUACAAUCAAGAUUUCAAAAACCUAAUAA